UUAACCCCCCGUGAUUUUCUAGGGUUUUGUUAAGAAGGCUCAAAUAAUUUCAUUUCUGCGCGCGCUUCCGUUUCUAGGGUUUCUUUCUUUCUGCAUUGUGACGAUCCAUCUGCAGUAUCCUUCUUCAAGCCCAUAUCCUUCAGUAGAUAGUUGAGUAAUGCUGGAGGAAUGGCCUGGAUUUGGAAUUUUGUAGCGUGACCCUUGAGAGCAAAUGUCUGAGCACCUUACUUUAAAUGGUUUUGACUGCUGCCCAUGAGAAGUCCUCAGGAAGUCUGCGAUUAAUGGACUGCAUGCACCACUGCAGUGACAAAAAAACAUUGAAGCGGUGGUUCUUCAUUGACAAAAGAGUUGGGUAGAUAUCCAAGGCCUUAAAAAAUCACAUUGAAAUUUAUUUAAUCUGGGAAGUAAGAAAAUACUAUAUUAUUCGAUUUUUGACUUGACGCUCUAACGGAUACGGAACCAAUGGAUUUAAAAUCAACCCACAAGUCCCCUGUUCUCGCUGAUUCUGUCCCCAUGAACAAGUCAAGACUGGGUUUAUCCUCUAGUUCGGUGCCUUAUUCAGCAUCAACCACAGGAUAUUCUUCUCCUGGCAUGUAUUUAACAACUCCUAGAAGAAAGCCUGCUCCCAGCAAACUUGACGAUGUUCGUGUAAGUGCCUCAUCACCUCCUCAAAAGAAGCUGAACAAGGAAUUCGGCUUUGAGCCUGAAUCAGAAGAAGCAGAGACCUCAUACCAUACCUGGGUGAUGAAGUAUCCAUCUGCGCUAACAUCAUUUGAACAAAUCACAAAUUAUGCGAAGUACAAGAAGAUAGCAUUGUUUCUGGAUUAUGAUGGAACACUUUCUCCUAUUGUGGACAACCCUGACCAUGCUUUUAUGUCCAGUGCGAUGCGGACUGCUGUGAGAAAUGUUGCAAAACAUUUUCCAACGGCUAUUAUCAGUGGAAGAUCACGUGAUAAGGUCUGUGAAUUUGUAGGACUAACAGAACUCCAUUAUGCCGGUAGUCAUGGAAUGGACAUAAUGGUUCCAUUACGAGAAUUGGAAUCCACUACUGACCAUCCAAACUCUAUUAGAUCUACUGACAAGCAGGAGGUAAUUCCAUUCCAGCCUGCAAGUGAAUUUUUGCCAAUGAUCGAUGAGGUUUUUAGAUCCCUUGUCGAGAACACUAACGAUAUUGAAGGUGCAACAGUAGAGAACAACAAGUUUUGUGUCUCCGUACAUUACCGCCUAGUAGAUGAAGAGCUUUGGCCAAUGAUUGCAGAAAUUGUUCAUGAUAUCCUAAAGGGCUACCCAAAGUUGAAACUGACACAUGGUCGGAAGGUUUUAGAGAUCCGGCCUGUGAUUGAUUGGAACAAAGGAAAGGCCGUUGAGUUUUUGCUUGAAUCACUUGGACUGAAUAAUCGCGAUGAUGUGCUCCCUAUAUAUGUUGGAGAUGACAUAACUGAUGAGGAUGCAUUCAAGGUUCUUAGAGAGGGUAAUUGUGGCUAUGGCAUUUUAGUAUCGUCUGUACCAAAAGAAAGUAAUGCCUCCUACUCUCUUAGAGACCCAUCUGAGGUUAAAGGAUUCCUCAAGUCCUUGGUGAAAUGGAAGACAACAGCAGCAGUUUAGGAAUGAUGAUGGCCAUUUAUUGGUGUUGGUUGUUUUGUUGGCCCAAUAAGUUGGCCCAUUCCACUAAAUGCCCAGCUCCCCCACUUGUGCCCUAGCCCCUCUAUUUUCCCUCACCUACCCGAUGGUUCUCACCUCCUCCUAAGUCUUCGCGAUCUCUAGAAGUCUUCGCGAUCUCUGGAUUUGAUGGCCGCCGCUGUGAUUUCAUCCCUAGGUCGGCUCCCUCCUUCGUUUUCUUCCCUAGCUCCUCUCCCUUGUCGGCUGCCCCCAUCCCUAUAUAUGGGUAAUGGGUUGGUAGUAGCUUGGGAGAGGGAUGAAGAGGAAGUAGAGGUGGUGAGGUGAAGAUCUGAGCUUGAACUUCCCUCUGCUGUGUGCGAUCUCCCCCUUUCUGCGACUUUGUGCUCCUGUGAGCUUUGUGCUCUCAACCCCUUUGUGCGAUCCCCUUUGUGAGUGACUGGGGAAGGAGAUCGGCGAGCUCCCAGUUGGUCUUUGGUGGUGCACUAGAGAGGAAAACAGUGACUGACUCAAGCAGGUUUCUGAGCCAAAAACGACAUCUCAGAUUCUCAACAGUGGUAUCAGAGCAAGGUUAGUGUCGCUG